rnacentral:rRNA from 1 species
CAUGCAAGUCGAACGGUAAGGCCCUUCGGGGUACACGAGUGGCGAACGGGUGAGUAACACGUGGGUAAUCUGCCCUGCACAUCGGGAUAAGCCUGGGAAACUGGGUCUAAUACCGAAUAGGACCACAGAACACAUGUCCUGUGGUGGAAAGCUUUUGCGGUGUGGGAUGGGCCCGCGGCCUAUCAGCUUGUUGGUGGGGUGAUGGCCCACCAAGGCGACGACGGGUAGCCGGCCUGAGAGGGUGUCCGGCCACACUGGGACUGAGAUACGGCCCAGACUCCUACGGGAGGCAGCAGUGGGGAAUAUUGCACAAUGGGCGAAAGCCUGAUGCAGCGACGCCGCGUGGGGGAUGACGGCCUUCGGGUUGUAAACCUCUUUCACCAUCGACGAAGGUUCGGGUUUUCUCGGAUUGACGGUAGGUGGAGAAGAAGCACCGGCCAACUACGUGCCAGCAGCCGCGGUAAUACGUAGGGUGCGAGCGUUGUCCGGAAUUACUGGGCGUAAAGAGCUCGUAGGUGGUUUGUCGCGUUGUUCGUGAAAUCUCACGGCUUAACUGUGAGCGUGCGGGCGAUACGGGCAGACUUGAGUACUGCAGGGGAGACUGGAAUUCCUGGUGUAGCGGUGGAAUGCGCAGAUAUCAGGAGGAACACCGGUGGCGAAGGCGGGUCUCUGGGCAGUAACUGACGCUGAGGAGCGAAAGCGUGGGGAGCGAACAGGAUUAGAUACCCUGGUAGUCCACGCCGUAAACGGUGGGUACUAGGUGUGGGUUUCCUUCCUUGGGAUCCGUGCCGUAGCUAACGCAUUAAGUACCCCGCCUGGGGAGUACGGCCGCAAGGCUAAAACUCAAAGAAAUUGACGGGGGCCCGCACAAGCGGCGGAGCAUGUGGAUUAAUUCGAUGCAACGCGAAGAACCUUACCUGGGUUUGACAUGCACAGGACGCCGGCAGAGAUGUCGGUUCCCUUGUGGCCUGUGUGCAGGUGGUGCAUGGCUGUCGUCAGCUCGUGUCGUGAGAUGUUGGGUUAAGUCCCGCAACGAGCGCAACCCUUGUCUCAUGUUGCCAGCGGGUAAUGCCGGGGACUCGUGAGAGACUGCCGGGGUCAACUCGGAGGAAGGUGGGGAUGACGUCAAGUCAUCAUGCCCCUUAUGUCCAGGGCUUCACACAUGCUACAAUGGCCGGUACAAAGGGCUGCGAUGCCGCGAGGUUAAGCGAAUCCUUUUAAAGCCGGUCUCAGUUCGGAUCGGGGUCUGCAACUCGACCCCGUGAAGUCGGAGUCGCUAGUAAUCGCAGAUCAGCAACGCUGCGGUGAAUACGUUCCCGGGCCUUGUACACACCGCCCGUCACGUCAUGAAAGUCGGUAACACCCGAAGCCAGUGGCCUAACCCUUUGGGAGGGAGCUG